rnacentral:tRNA from 1 species
GCCUGGGUGGCUCAGUCGGAUUGAGCGUCCGACUUCGGCUCGGGUCAUGAUCUCGCGGUUUGUGAGUUCGAGCCCCAUGUCGGGCU